rnacentral:rRNA from 1 species
UUUAAAUUGAGAGUUUGAUCCUGGCUCAGGACGAACGCUGGCGGCGUGCCUAACACAUGCAAGUCGAGCGAUGCGAUCCUUCGGGGUCAAUUAGCGGCGGACGGGUGAGUAACACGUGGGUAACCUGCCUCAAAGAGGGGAAUAGCCUCCCGAAAGGGAGAUUAAUACCGCAUAAUAUGUUUUGAUCGCAUGAUCUUAACAUCAAAGGAAUUUUUCGGAAUUUCACUUUGAGAUGGACCCGCGGCGCAUUAGCUAGUUGGUGAGGUAAAGGCCCACCAAGGCAACGAUGCGUAGCCGACCUG